CCAGACUCCUACGGGAGGCAGCAGUGGGGAAUAUUGGGCAAUGGGCGCAAGCCUGACCCAGCAACGCCGCGUGAAGGAAGAAGGCUUUCGGGUUGUAAACUUCGUUUCUCAGGGACGAAGAAAGUGACGGUACCUGAGGAAUAAGCCACGGCUAACUACGUGCCAGCAGCCGCGGUAAUACGGAGGGUGCGAGCGUUAAUCGGAAUUACUGGGCGUAAAGCGCUCGUAGGCGGUAUGUCAAGUCAAGGGUGAAAUCCCCGCGCUCAACGUGGGAACUGCCUUUGAAACUGGCAAACUGGAGUGUGUGAGAGGAUAGUGGAAUUCCAGGUGUAGGAGUGAAAUCCGUAGAUAUCUGGAGGAACAUCAGUGGCGAAGGCGGAUUGCUGGACAGUAACUGACGCUGAGGCGCGAAAGCGUGGGGAGCAAACAGGAUUAGAUACCCCGGUA
rnacentral:rRNA from 1 species